AAUAUAAAGAAGUCCAACUCCACUGGGAAUGUCCAGAGGACUAGAGCUAGCCUGAACCUAGCAAAUGGAUGUACGCCAAAAGUCCUGUGUGCCCUACACCAAUCUGGCGUCAAGUGGCUACAAAAAAUAAAUUCAACUUGCUCCUCACUGCUCUGUGUUCAUACCCCAAAUGUUUCCUUCAGCCCCUCCACACACAUAGAAGAUAAAACAGCAUUCUGCCAUUCCUCACCCUCCUCCCCUUCACACACAGCCAGCCACAAGGGACUUGUUCACAUUGUCACAAGGACCCAUCACAAAUAUCCUUCCAUUGAUUUGAGCAGUCUCUCUUCUGAUUGUCAUUGAAUUUUAAGUAGCAAAUCCCUGGGUGGAUCCUUCAUCCCUCCCUUUGUUUGGAAAGGCAGGAAAAUGGGAUCUGCUGUGUAUCUAACAUAUUCAUGUGGAGGGUUUCCUCUGGGGGCUCUCCAGAGCUGAAGACUCCAUGCAAGGGUUUCUGCAAGGCUUUCAUCCAGGUGAAUUUGGGCAAGUCUUUCUUUGCACUAGCAUUAUCCCAUCUGGCUUCAAAUUCAGGAUGUGAACACUGAAACUUGAUACUUGGGCUAGAAACCUGAACUGGAACUUAAAUCCUGCAUGGUCCCUCCCAGGCAUUCCCUGCUAUUGAUGAAGGAAUGGCAGAAUGGAUACAACCAUAUGAGAGGCAGCAAGUUACUCCUCCUCUGAACACUUAAUUUUGCUCUGUGUUGUGCUCGCUAUCACAUUUAAAUAUAAUAAAUACAUAGUUAUUCCUGAGGCA
rnacentral:lncRNA from 1 species